rnacentral:rRNA from 1 species
UACGAAGGGGGCGAGCGUUGUUCGGAAUUACUGGGCGUAAAGCGUGCGUAGGCGGCUUUGCAAGACAGAUGUGAAAUCCCCGGGCUUAACCUGGGAACUGCAUUUGUGACUGCAUGGCUAGAGUGCGGCAGAGGGGGAUGGAAUUCCGCGUGUAGCAGUGAAAUGCGUAGAUAUGCGGAGGAACACCGAUGGCGAAGGCAAUCCCCUGGGCCUGCACUGACGCUCAUGCACGAAAGCGUGGGGAGCAAACAGG